rnacentral:rRNA from 1 species
AUUGAACGCUGGCGGCAUGCUUUACACAUGCAAGUCGAACGGUAACAGGCCGCAAGGUGCUGACGAGUGGCGAACGGGUGAGUAAUGCAUCGGAACGUGCCCAGUCGUGGGGGAUAACGCAGCGAAAGCUGUGCUAAUACCGCAUACGAUCUAUGGAUGAAAGCGGGGGACCGUAAGGCCUCGCGCGAUUGGAGCGGCCGAUGACAGAUUAGGUAGUUGGUGGGGUAAAGGCCUACCAAGCCGACGAUCUGUAGCUGGUCUGAGAGGACGACCAGCCACACUGGGACUGAGACACGGCCCAGACUCCUACGGGAGGCAGCAGUGGGGAAUUUUGGACAAUGGGCGCAAGCCUGAUCCAGCAAUGCCGCGUGCAGGAAGAAGGCCUUCGGGUUGUAAACUGCUUUUGUACGGAACGAAACGGUCUGGGUUAAUACCCUGGGCUAAUGACGGUACCGUAAGAAUAAGCACCGGCUAACUACGUGCCAGCCGCCGCCGUAAGAC